rnacentral:rRNA from 1 species
AGCGAACGCUGGCGGCAGGCUUAACACAUGCAAGUCGAACGCCCCGCAAGGGGAGUGGCAGACGGGUGAGUAACACGUGGGAACGUACCCUUUGGUUCGGAAUAACUUGGGGAAACUCAAGCUAAUACCGGAUAAGCCCUUAUGGGGAAAGGUUUACUGCCGAAGGAUCGGCCCGCGUCUGAUUAGCUAGUUGGUGAGGUAAUGGCUCACCAAGGCGACGAUCAGUAGCUGGUCUGGGAGGAUGAUCAGCCACACUGGGACUGAGACACGGCCCAGAGUCCUACGGGAGGGAGCAGUGGGGAAUAUUGGACAAUGGGGGCAACCCUGAUCCAGCCAUGCCGCGUGAGUGAUGAAGGCCUUAGGGUUGUAAAGCUCUUUUACCCGGGACGAUAAUGACUGUACCGGGAGAAUAAGCCCCGGCUAACUUCGUGCCAGCCGCCGCCGUAA